UCCUACGGGAGGCAGCAGUGGGGAAUAUUGCACAAUGGGCGCAAGCCUGAUGCAGCCAUGCCGCGUGUAUGAAGAAGGCCUUCGGGUUGUAAAGUACUUUCAGCGGGGAGGAAGGCGAUGUGGUUAAUAACCACGUCGAUUGACGUUACCCGCAGAAGAAGCACCGGCUAACUCCGUGCCAGCAGCCGCGGUAAUA
rnacentral:rRNA from 1 species